CGGCGAGUGAAGCGGCAAUAGCUCAAAUUUGAAAUGCUGGCGUCUUCGACGUCCGCGUUGUAAUUUGUAGAGGAUGCUUCGGCGAAGACUCCUGCCUAAGUCCCCUGGAACGGGGCGUCAUAGAGGGUGAGAAUCCCGUAUGUGGCGGGCAGUCUAAGCCAUGUGAAGCUCCUUCGACGAGUCGAGUUGUUUGGGAAUGCAGCUCUAAAUGGGAGGUAAAUUUCUUCUAAAGCUAAAUAUUGGCCAGAGACCGAUAGCGCACAAGUAGAGUGAUCGAAAGAUGAAAAGCACUUUGGAAAGAGAGUUAAAAAGUACGUGAAAUUGUUGAAAGGGAAGCGCUUGCAACCAGACUCGCUCGUAGUUGCUCAGCCGGCCUCUUGGCCGGUGUACUCUUCUACGAUCGGGCCAGCAUCAGUUCGGGCGGCAGGAUAAAGGUGUCGGGAACGUAGCACCCUUCGGGGUGUGUUAUAGCCCGGCGCGGAAUGCUGCCAGCCUGGACUGAGGAUCUCGCUUCGGCAAGGAUGCUGGCGUAAUGGUUGUAAGCGGCCCGUCUUGAAACACGGACCAAGGAGUCUAACAUCUAUGCGAGUGUUUGGGUGUCAAACCCAUGCGCGUAAUGAAAGUGAACGGAGGUGGGAACCCCUCACGGGGUGCACCAUCGACCGAUCCUGAUGUCUUCGGAUGGAUUUGAGUAAGAGCAUAGCUGUUGGGACCCGAAAGAUGGUGAACUAUGCCUGAAUAGGGUGAAGCCAGAGGAAACUCUG
rnacentral:rRNA from 1 species